CCUACGGGAGGCAGCAGUAGGGAAUCUUUCACAAUGGGCGAAAGCCUGAUGGAGCAACGCCGCGUGCAGGAUGAAGGCCUUCGGGUUGUAAACUGCUGUUAUAAGCGAGAAAUAUGAUGGUAACUUAUGAAUAAGGAUCGGCUAACUACGUGCCAGCAGCCGCGGUCAUACGUAGGAUCCGAGCAUUAUCCGGAGUGACUGGGUGUAAAGAGUUGCGUAGGUGGCAUAAUAAGUAGCUAGUGAAAUCUGGUGGCUCAAACAUUCAGACUAUUAGCUAAACUGUUAAGCUCGAGACCGUUAGGGGUAACUGGAAUUUCUAGUGUAGGAGUGAAAUCCGUAGAUAUUAGAAGGAACACCAAUAGCGUAGGCAGGUUGCUGGGACGGUUCUGACACUAAGGCACGAAAGCGUAGGGAGCAAACGGGAUUAGAUACCCCAGUAGUC
rnacentral:rRNA from 1 species